AGGAUAGAUAGCCAGAGAAGCAUACACUAGGGAUGGUAGAUUUGGACUCAGUGGUCAUUUAAAAAUAUAUGGCUAUCAAAUCUAUAACCAGUUAAACACAAAUUCUAUAUCAAAACAUACUGAUACCCAGAAAUUCUAAAAAAUAUUUCUCCAACCUGUAUAAUCAUUUUAAUCUUUAAUUUCACCCCCACUACCUUAAUUUAGAACUUGUGUCUCUCACUUUUAUAUCUUACCAUAUUUUCCUAACUUAUCUCCAUGUCUUCACUCUUGAAUCUUUUUAACUCAAUUUCUGCCUGAAUAAUCUUUAUAUAAUGUAGUUUGAUCCUUUCCAUCAAAAUGCUCAUUAGUAGUGUUCUAAUGUAAGCUUCUGUUCCAGAGUCUUGUUUGUCUCCUAAAUCUCUCCUUCUUUCCCUCCAGGAAUGUUAUGCUCCAUCAACAUGGACCCUGUUUUCCAGAAUUUUCCAAGUUUUCUUAACUAGACAAUGAGCUCCUUGAAUGAUGAUGUUUGUGCCAUAGAAGAUGCUUAAUAAAGGCUUGCCCAAUUGGAGUGGACUUACACACCUGCUCUUGCCAUAAGCACAUCACUUUCAAAUUGGUGUCACUGCACUGGUUCCGAGAGAGCGGUAAAGAACAUUAACACUGCAUCCACCCUGACAGAACAAACCAUUCCCUAGAAAUUGAUAAGGGCCUUUUUCUGGAAAUAAAUUUGGUGGUGGCAAAACAAAUGGUUGUCUCAAUUGCCAUCCAUCUCCCUUUCUUUAAUAACUUUCAUUUAUUUCACCACAUCCCUUUCUCAGAUUAGUAUAACAAAUGCAUUUACCUUUGAAGGAAGGGGCAUUGGCAGAUUUUUCCAAUGCAGAGGAAAACUAAAUGUCUCUUAACUAAGCC